rnacentral:rRNA from 1 species
GACAGAGGGUGCAAACGUUGUUCGGAAUUACUGGGCAUAAAGAGCACGUAGGUGGUCUGCUAAGUCACAUGUGAAAUACCCCAGCUCAACCGGGGAACUGCGUGUGAUACGGGCGGGCUGGAGUUCGGUAGGGGAGACUGGAAUUCCUGGUGUAGCGGUGAAAUGCGCAGAUAUCGGGAGGAACACCAGUAGCGAAGGCGGCUCGCUGGGCCAUUCCUGACGCUGAGACGCGAAAGCUAGGGGAGCGAACAGG